AUACUGCAAGUCGAGCGAAUGGAUUAAGAGCUUGCUCUUAUGAAGUUAGCGGCGGACGGGUGAGUAACACGUGGGUAACCUGCCCAUAAGACUGGGAUAACUCCGGGAAACCGGGGCUAAUACCGGAUAACAUUUUGAACUGCAUGGUUCGAAAUUGAAAGGCGGCUUCGGCUGUCACUUAUGGAUGGACCCGCGUCGCAUUAGCUAGUUGGUGAGGUAACGGCUCACCAAGGCAACGAUGCGUAGCCGACCUGAGAGGGUGAUCGGCCACACUGGGACUGAGACACGGCCCAGACUCCUACGGGAGGCAGCAGUAGGGAAUCUUCCGCAAUGGACGAAAGUCUGACGGAGCAACGCCGCGUGAGUGAUGAAGGCUUUCGGGUCGUAAAACUCUGUUGUUAGGGAAGAACAAGUGCUAGUUGAAUAAGCUGGCACCUUGACGGUACCUAACCAGAAAGCCACGGCUAACUACGUGCCAGCAGCCGCGGUAAUACGUAGGUGGCAAGCGUUAUCCGGAAUUAUUGGGCGUAAAGCGCGCGCAGGUGGUUUCUUAAGUCUGAUGUGAAAGCCCACGGCUCAACCGUGGAGGGUCAUUGGAAA
rnacentral:rRNA from 1 species